UUCAUUAUUAUUGCUACUGUAUUUUCUACUUACCCGUACUGUUGUUUAGCUCUUCCUGAUCCGGUGAGUACUCCUCGCCUUCAUCGGCUUGCGGUACCUACUGGGAGGGGAGACAUGCUUACAUGUUCUCACCUCCCACACUAUUUUUCAGGUAUCGCGGACGGUGAGAGUUGAGACGAGACGUGAGAUACGUACGUAGCGGUCGAUAGAGCUUUCGACCCAGGUUAUUCGGUUUAGUUUCUACCCCUACUAUCCUGUUGAUAUAGCUUAGAUAGUUUAUAUGGUUCAGUUUUUGGGUAUUUCAGUUAACUAUCAUAUUUUGAUUUGGCUUUAUGAAUGUUAUAAAAAGGAUUCGUGGUUUUCGUAAAUAAAAGGUUUUCUACCCCUUGUGGUAGCAUUUUUAAAGAAUAAAGGUUUUUGUGUAGGAAACAGUUUUCAAAAGAAUUUUCUGUGGAUUUAUGUUUAAAUAUUGAAUGUAUAACUGUGAUGUGAAUGGUGAAUGAAUGAUUGUAUAGUCGUUUCUAUAUUUAUUUGGUUGUGGUUGUACCUGGGUUACUUCUUGUACUUGUGCGAUGCCGUGCAAAUAUAGGGGAGACUCUGUCCGCGUGAACAGUGGAUUCCCUGUAUUUGUGGCUGAUCUGGCAUUCCCUGGGGUUAGGUUUUC
rnacentral:lncRNA from 1 species